GAUGAACGCUGGCGGAUGCCUAANACAUGCAAGUCGUACGAGAGUUUUUAACUCUAGUGGCGGACGGGUGAGUAACACGUGAGAAUUUACCUUUAGGAGGGGGGAUAACAAUUGGAACGAAUGCUAAUACCCCAUAUGCUUUUGAGUGAAAUGGAUUUAUAAUUAUCUGCCUAAAGAAAAGCUCGCGGCUGAUUAGCUUGUUGGUAAGGUAAGAGCUUACCAAGGCGACGAUCAGUAUCUGGUUUGAGAGGACGAUCAGACACACUGGAACUGAGACACGGUCCAGACUCCUACGGGAGGCAGCAGUGGGGAAUUUUCCGCAAUGGGCGAAAGCCUGACGGAGCAAUACCGCGUGAGGGAAGACUGCCUAUGGGUUGUAAACCUCUUUUUUCAGGGAGGAAUAAAAUGACGUGUACCUGAAGAAUAAGCAUCGGCUAACUCCGUG
rnacentral:rRNA from 1 species